rnacentral:rRNA from 1 species
UACGGGAGGCAGCAGUGGGGAAUAUUGGACAAUGGGGGAAACCCUGAUCCAGCGACGCCGCGUGAGCGAAGAAGUAUUUCGGUAUGUAAAGCUCUAUCAGCAGGGAAGAAAAUGACGGUACCUGACUAAGAAGCACCGGCUAAAUACGUGCCAGCAGCCGCGGUAAU